GAAGGUUUCAGAAGAUUGUAAGCCUCUAGGAAGCUUUAGAACGUCUUCACGAAGCUUGGAGAAGAAAAACGAGGUGUUUUGGACAUCGGGAAGUCGAGUUUGGCGAGUUUGAAAUUUGGCCGGCAUUAUCGUGCCUUCUCCUGCGAGAUCCUGUGAUUUUGGAGAAAUUGGUAAGAUUAUAUCCUUCUAGUUACAAGCUUCAUUUUGGGAAAAAAUUGAGGUAAUUCGGUUAAGAAAUGACUGAAAUAUCAAGGUUUUUCAAAUUUCCAGUUUUUCGACAACGGCAACGGUCAACCUUGACGGAAUAUUCUAACGGCGUCAGGUUAGUUUUAACGGUAUAUGCUAUUAUUUAACGGAAUAUUCCCUAAUGCCGUUAGGGUUACCAUCAGUGUGCCUGGCAUGUGCCCGCGCAUGGGCGGCGCGUCUGGCCGUGCCUUGGCCGACACGUGAUGGUGCGUGGGACAUCAGAAAAUUUUUCUAAAAAUAUAGGGAUGUUCGUGAGGUUGUGUAGUUCACGUUAGUAUAUUCAAACAUCCCAUUUGAGCAUUGUAUGAGAAGUUAUUAGUCAGUAUUGGUUAUUGGUUAUGUGUUUUAAAUUAACGCUUUUAUAGUUGUUUCGCAUAUAGGGGAGACUUAUCCAGAAGACGAGCGCAGUCAAAGGCGACUCGGG
rnacentral:lncRNA from 1 species